rnacentral:rRNA from 1 species
CACGUAGGGUGCGAGCGUUGUCCGGAAUUAUUGGGCGUAAAGAGCUCGUAGGCGGUGUGUCGCGUCGGCCGUGAAAACCUGCAGCUUAACUGUGGGCUUGCGGUCGAUACGGGCAUCACUGGAGUUCGGCAGGGGAGACUGGAAUUCCUGGUGUAGCGGUGAAAUGCGCAGAUAUCAGGAGGAACAUCGGUGGCGAAGGCGGCAUCCUGGACCGGUAUUGACGCUGAGGCGCGAAAGCCAGGGGAGCAAACGGG